UUGAUUCGGAAAAUAAGAUAAGAGAAAAAUAGAUAUUUGACCCAUGCUGAUUAUUGAACCCUUAAGUAUCCUAAAGUAGGUUAUAUUAUUUCAUUCUCUCAAAAUUAACAAAUAAAGGAGAAACGAAAACAAAUACAUUGUUUCUGCAUUGUGGAUUAGGCACAGUCUAGGCCUACUUUCAGUAGGCUACUGUAGGCCUAUUUGCAGUGUCAACUUGGAGGACGUGAAUCUCAUCUAGUGAACGGAAACGACGCAGCGUCGUGUGAAACGUUGGCCUAAACCACAGUUCAGUGGCCUAAUCAAGUAGGAACGGUGAGGAAAAAGACCUUUACCCAUGGAUUUUCGGAUCAAAGGAGAAAAUGAAUGGAAGUUUCACAUAAGCGUCCGUUCCACAGUCUGUGAUUUAAAUUGGCGUUUUAAACUUGGACUUUUUCCGCAUACAUUUCUCUCUGAAACGGUAGGCUACUGGAUCCACUUAAUUCCGAUGCCGCUUUCCAACCAAAAAAAAUAUUUUGCUAGCAGCAAGCCAACAGCUGCGAAUGUAAUUUACGUCAUAGCUACAUCAGUGCAAUAUUUUUGAUCCAGAAGUCUUGAAAAUGCCAAAGAGCCUGAUGGAAAUGACUACACGAUUUAGUUCUGAGGCAUUUUGACCAAGAAGCUAAAACCUAUGCUAGAUACUGGCAGAGAGGAAGAUACAAAGAUUCAAUGCAACUUCAGAUUUACCAUGCAUCAAUAAACAAUGGGGCUGAUCAACGUAAUCAGUGUAUUGACUACUUCAACAAACAAUGCUCUAUAGCUACGACCACAGUUCAGAAGUUGUCCCUGUUUCCAGAAAACUUUUGUAGCUAGGUCUGCUCCGGUUUGAAUUCCUUUUGGUUUUCAUCGUUUUGAAUAAACGCAAAUUGCUCCGCUUGGUUAGAAAAUGGUGGGCAGGGUAUACAAGAAAAAACAGCGUUCCCGGCAUGGGUCCUGUGUUAUGACGUUUGAAGGGUUUCUCCGUAAUUGCACUCGUAGGAUUCAAGUUCUAAUGCGGAACAUACAUGUCUAAUUUUCCACGCAUCUGUGGUAAAAUAGGCUAUCCUUAUUCGAAAUUAGUGAAGGUCUAAUUUCCAUUCUGAAACUAAAGCGAAGUCAUAUCAAAAUAAUUCCGAAUUCAGAACUCCUGCGUUUUGUGAAAUAUGUUAAAUUGAAACUUCAUGUUGUGAACGGGUAUCGUUAUUUAAAUGUUUCUGCAGCUCCUCUGUGGGUGUUGGAGUUUAAUAACAAUAGAUUGCUGACAUUUUGCCCCAUGACCACUAGAUGUUGCUGGUAUUGCAGCUCAGACAUAGGCUGUUCUUUCCCAAGGAUAGCAGGUGUGCUUUUAAGCAUGCUUAGUCUGUAAGACAAGUCCCUCCUGAUAAGCAUCAGCUAAGUCAGUGUAAUGUUGUGAAACAGAUGAUCACAUAUCCAGAUUACCCACAUUGAGUGGUAUUCAUAAAUGUAAUAAAAUGCAACCAGAUUAUAUACAAAAGUUUAAAAAAAUAACUUGAUGUUUAAUAUAAAUCAUUUUUAGUGAACCUUGAGGCUGAAGCUUGACUUCAAAUCAGGGUCAUAUAGAAGUAACUGUUUGCAGGAAUGGUUAAAGACAGAAGAGAAGGGGGCAAAGCAACUGCAAGAUGAAGUCAACAGGGAAGACAAGUUCACGGGCAGUGUAGUCUGUUGUGCUGAAGCACGGAUAGUGAGAACUAUUGCGCAAGAAUACACUGAGUACCCUGCAAAGGGACGAAGGAGAAGAGACAGAGACUGUAUAUUGCAACAGGCUGUAAAUGCUGAACACUGCUUUCCAAACCAUGGUAUUUCACAGAGCAGCACUUUUGAAACUGCAUGCUUUUGGAACCAUGGUAAUUCGCAGAGGGACGCUAGAAACUGCUCACCAAAAAAAUGAACCACAAAGCAACAGGGGGGUGAAAUUUUUAGAAGACCAACUCUGGCCAGCCAUCUGAGAAACAGAUCUUUGCUUCAAUGAUACAAAAGGAAGAUGGGACUGUCCAGUCAUGCCACUUCACUGAGAAAACAUGUUUUGAGGGCCAUUCCACUUUUAUAUUGCAUCAUCUCCAACGGGAACGAGUUUUCUCUGAAAAACAUCCUUCCUCUGGAAUAUGAUGAUACUCUCUGUGUAGAGGGAGGAGACUGCUGAGCAGCACGUUACCUGUCCAGGUGAGUCUGGGUGUGGCCCCAUGUAAGUGGCCCUGCUCUCAAGGCCCAGGUUCAUCCCCCCAGAGGUGGUGCUGAGGCGCCGGCUUAACUCCAGCUCGAUCUCGGCGUCCAUCUCGGCGUCCUCCUUGGCCUCCUUGUUGCUCUCCUCCAGGUGCUUCAUCAGCACGGCCACCACCACGUUGACCAGCACAAACUGGGCGAUCAGCACGAAGGUGACGAAGUAGAUGGGUGAGAUCAGGGGCAGGUAGCUCAGGCAGUGCUUGUCCUCGCUCCUGCACUCCCGCAGGGUGUCCUGAGAAGAGCCGAGGCACAGUGAGCACUCCCCCUCAACACCCCGUCCCUCCAAGGGGACAGUCUGUUCAGUGGGGCUGUAGUCUGAGCAAGCCGUCAGUUUGACACUAACUCACCUUCAUGAUGCCAUUCCAGUUGUCUCCUGUGGACACCCUGAACAGAGUCAGAAAGGCCAUCCCAAAGUUCUGAAAUGUGGCAUGUCUGCUCAGCCCUUCACAGGGGUUGUCUUCAUUACAUUCUACAGACAAAACGACAACCGUGGAAAGACACAAAACAGGAGUUAGGAGUUAGUACACAUUUAGCCAUAUACAAUUUUAUGAGUGGGACAGGUACAACCUUGACUUCUGUAAUACCAAAGAGUAAAAAUAUCAGAGAACCACAUACUUCCAUUUAGACAUAAAUCUGUUAAUUCAGUGAUACUAGCCAGUUUAACGACUAUGAAGAACUCAUGCAGCUUAAAGAGCCUAUUUUGUCAUUUGUCAGAGGGUACCUGUACACCCUAAACUGCAAACUAUGCUAUUGUAUUGGGCCACUUACAGAUUAACAACUAGAAAGAUAAUUAUUAUGCACCUAUUUUAUAAGGGAUUCAUGUGACCAUUUCCAGGGUUCUCUCAUUCAACCUCCUCAUACGAAUCACAUACGUACAUAGCUAAAGACAAACAUACUGUACAGUAUUUUGAGUUGACAAUUACUUGAUUUAUAUUGUAAUAUUUAUUAUUUUCAAAUACUGGUUAUCUCUACGGCCAGACAGAGAAAAAGAAGUAAGUCUAUUUUUUACAUGCAGUACUCAGGACAUUCUCGGAAUUCAAGAUACGGUAAAUGAGUACAGGACAACCACAAAGCCUAAAAGGACAUAGACAGGCUUCUAAAAUGACCAGCACAGUAGUGCACUAAUGCAAAUCUUUAACACAGUUGAAAAUGCUUAGGAAUGAAGCACUGACCAAGUUUCCCAAAAAGCUCUACCCCAAGGGCGGCAUAGAUGAAGAAAAGAAGCAUGAAGAGCAGGCCAAGAUUUCCCACCUGGUGAUAGAAGGAAUGCACAUAGCAGGUUACACACGUGCACACCACACCAAAUAACUACUGCAGAAUAUUGGGAAACUUACAAGAGCCGUAAGUUAGUUGUUCGGCAUAUUGAGCACACACCACAAACACACGUCAAAUAUGGAAAACAUACAUGAUUUAAUGAGCCUGCAGGUUGUCUGAAUAUCUCUUGUUUGUAUAUCACUUGUCGGAGCCUAUGAGGCUGAGCUGUUAC